GAAAUUGAGAUUUUAGAUUUUGGUACGUGGAAAGGAAUCAGUAGGAUUAUUUUUUAUUUGAUGUCUUGCUGGGAUCUGAUUCAUGUGAAUAUGAUCGACAGGGAACAGAGCAAAAUGAUGAGUGAGCUUGUUUGUGUGAAGUUCAAAGAGAUUGUUGCUUAUGAUCCAUGGGGCUGAGAGUUGUGCCUCUAUGGGAUGAGAGCAGCAGUCAGUUAGCAGGAAUGUUAAUUGUUUCAGAUUUUAUUUUGAUUUUGUUUCAGGUAAUGCAUCUCUUAUAACUAUUCAUCAACCCUUUCCUACUUGGCAACUGUCCUCAA